rnacentral:sRNA from 1 species
UGUAUUUCUUUCUUAUGUCUCUUACUAUGGUAAUACUUAAACUUUCUUAAAUUUCGCAUAACCAAAACACUUUCUUUAAGCUUCCCUAACGAAUUUUUAUAUUUUCAAAUGGAUUGACAAAUGAACAUUUUCCAGAAAUUACAUACAAAUAUCAUGACUUCUUUCACAUUUCAUUUUCUCAAUGAAGUAAAUUUUAUUUUUCUUCCAGAAAUUCCAUCGACCGCAUUCCAUUUCUCAAUUUCUUUCGCUCCUGUUUGUUAACUGCUUAUAUUUUGAACAAGUAAGGCAAGCUGCUUUGGACGUUUGGACGUUUCCCCCUUUCUCACUCAUAUCCAUUAAAAAUUCCUAUGUACUUCCAUUAUCAAGUUGCAAAUUUCUUGUGUUAGAACCCUUUGUAAGAAUUCCCCCUUUCUGCUUUGACUUGGUAAGCUAAAAACAUGAAGGAAGAUUGAAUGUUGGCUAAUGUAUUGAUAAAUGAAUGUUUUGAGGAUGACAAAGGAACUGGAAACUACAACUUUUUCUCCCCCAUACGAUAAGGAUAAGAGCAUGAAAUGUUAGUAAAGGAUAAGCAUAACAAGAAAAAAAAAAAAUACAUCCUUUUCGAAUUGAUAGGGAAAGCAAACUCAAAAAAAUUUUUUUUCCUGCUAUCACACUUAUGGUCAAAUAAAUUAUUAUAGAUUUAUAUUCAUA